CUUCCGGUCAAAGAGGUCGAUGUACCUCCCUGAUCAGAAGGGUUUCCUUCCGAUCAACGAGGUACAUCCUCGUUGACCGGAAGGAAACCCUUCUGGUCAAAGAGGUCGAUUUACCUCCCUGACCGGAAG
rnacentral:miRNA from 1 species